UUACUACUCCCUCCGUCCCAACAAUUUUGUAUUAGAUUUGUCUAGAUAUGGAUGUAUCUGACACUAAAACGUAACUAGAUACAUCUGUAUUUAGACAAAUACAUAUAAGACAAGAAUUUUGGGACGGAUGAAGUACUAU
rfam:Triticum aestivum genome assembly, contig: Triticum_aestivum_CS42_TGACv1_scaffold_578639_7BL